AUGGACAUGCGGGCCCUCAACUUGAAGGCCGCCGGGCCCUCCUUCCUCGCGCCGCGGCGCCACCCGCCGGCGACCUGGGCUCCCCUCCCCGCCGGCGAGAUCGGGAGGAGGCGGCAGCCGGCGCGGUUGACCAAGCUGGCGGUGAGCGCGUCGGGGAAGAAGAGCAGGAACGGCCGCGACGGGGACGACCCCAAGAGCAAGCCCUCCCCUUCCGGAAAAGGUGAUGCAUCUACUCCCAUUGGAGAUGAUGAUGCCGAUGCAGUAAGCCAAAAUCAUGGCGAACUGAAACCCAGUGACACGAUGUAUGUACCAAGCAACCUGUCAUAUUGGCGAGAUGUGAGAGCAAGCUUUGUGAUUCCAAAGUCGGAGCAGGCAGUCGAUGUAAAUACACUACCACAGACAUCAUUCGAUGGACCAGUACACUGUCUUCCUCGGAAAUGGGCCCAUUCUAUUUCUGCACCAGAAUCUGGCUGUGUGCUGGUCGCCACGGAAGAGCUUGACGGGAACGGCACCUUCGAAAGAACCGUCAUCCUCCUCCUGAAACUAGGUUCAAGAGACGCCUACGACGGUCCAUUCGGCGUCAUCCUGAACCGGCCACUCUACACGAAGAUGAAGCACGUGAACCCAUCCUUCCGCGACCAGGCGACGCCUUUCGGCGACUGCUCCCUCUUCUUCGGAGGCCCCGUCGACAUGAGCAUAUUCCUGAUGCGGACCAACGAAGGCAGGCCCAUCAAGGGGUUCGAGGAGGUGGCCCCGGGCGUCUGCUUCGGCUUCAGGACGGACCUGCAGAAGGUCGGUCACCUGAUGAAGAACGGGGCGCUCAACCCCGAUGACCUCAAGUUCUACGUCGGGUACUCCGCCUGGGACCACGAUCAGCUGCUGAGCGAGAUCGACGCGGGGUACUGGGUCGUCACCUCCUGCAGCUCGGGCCUGAUCACCGACGCGCUGACGACGGACCCUUCGUGCCUGUGGAGCGAGGUGCUGCAGAUGAUGGGAGGCCAGUACGCGGAGCUGAGCCAGAAACCGAAGGAAGAUGGCGCGUGA
rnacentral:rRNA from 1 species